AAUAAAAUAUUAUGUUACCUCAGGCAAAGUUUUCUAAGAUACGUUAAUCCUGUUGUUCAGAACUUCUAUAUCCUUAUUGAUGUUUUGACUGCUUAUUCUGUCAAUUACUGAGUGAAAUGUAUAAAUAUCUUUCAAUAUUAUUUUGUACCUGUUUAUAUUUUACUCUGGAGUGCAGUGGCUUGAUCUCGGCUCACUGCAACUUCCGCUUCCCAGGUUCAAGUGAUUCCCUCAGCCUUCCGAGUAGCUGGGACUACAGGCGUGUACCACCACACCCAUCUAAUUUUUUGUAUUUUAGUAGAGACGUGGUUUCACCAUGUUGGCCCGGCUGGUUUUGAACUCCUGACAUCAAGCAAU
rnacentral:lncRNA from 1 species